AUUGAACGCUGGCGGCAUGCCUUACACAUGCAAGUCGAACGGUAACGCGGGGCAACCUGGCGACGAGUGGCGAACGGGUGAGUAAUGCAUCGGAACGUGCCCAGUUGUGGGGGAUAACUGCUCGAAAGAGCAGCUAAUACCGCAUACGACCUGAGGGUGAAAGCGGGGGAUCGCAAGACCUCGCGCAAUUGGAGCGGCCGAUGUCGGAUUAGCUAGUUGGUGGGGUAAAGGCCCACCAAGGCGACGAUCCGUAGCUGGUCUGAGAGGACGACCAGCCACACUGGGACUGAGACACGGCCCAGACUCCUACGGGAGGCAGAAGUGGGGAAUUUUGGACAAUGGACGCAAGUCUGAUCCAGCCAUGCCGCGUGCGGGAAGAAGGCCUUCGGGUUGUAAACCGCUUUUGUCAGGGAAGAAAUCUUCUGGGUUAAUACCUCGGGAGGAUGACGGUACCUGAGGAAUAAGCACCGGCUAACUACGUGCCAGCCGCCGCCGUAACAC
rnacentral:rRNA from 1 species